rnacentral:rRNA from 1 species
CCUACGGGGGGCAGCAGUGGGGGAUAUUGCACAAUGGGGGGAACCCUGAUGCAGCGACGCCGCGCGGGUGAAGGAGCGUUUCGGCGCGUAAAGCCCUAUCGGCAGGGAAGAAGGAGGACGGUACCUGACUAAGAAGCCCCGGCUAACUACGUGCCAGCAGCCGCGGUAAUACGUAGGGGGCAAGCGUUAUCCGGAUGUACUGGGUGUAAAGGGGGCGCAGGCGGCAGCGCAAGCCAGGAGUGAAAGCCCGGGGCCCAACCCCGGGACUGCUCUUGGAACUGCGCGGCUGGAGUGCAGGAGGGGCAGGCGGAAUUCCUGGUGUAGCGGUGAAAUGCGUAGAUAUCAGGAAGAACACCAGUGGCGAAGGCGGCCGCCUGGCCUGUUGACUGACGCUGAGGCACGAAAGCGUGGGGAGCAAAUAGGAUUAGAUACCCCUGUAGUC